GGCUUCUCCUUGCACCUUCAUUUUAACCCCCAUUUUAUCAGCACCCUCUUUACUCCAAGCACUGGGGGAAACCCAGUGGGGUCAGAUGCACCCGACCAGCAAUUAAAAGCAACACUGGCUCUUGCCUCACUCUGAGGAUCAGAGACAUAAUUGGUGGGGCCCAGUGCAAACUGAAAAUGCAAUACCUUUUCUUCAAAAAUUAAGAAUUUCUAGAGGUCACUGCAGCAUGUGGGGGUCUGAGCCAAGCACAGGGCCCUCCUCAAUGUGGGGCCCAGUGUGGCCACACUGGUUGCAUAGCCAUGGAGCUGGCCCAGCUCCUGCUCACAGCCUGGCACAGACUGGGAGCAAAAUACAUGUUUAUUGAGUGAGUGAAAUGGCAUGUUCACCCCCAACUCUGUGAGGUGGACUCAGGAUCAUGAAUUUGCAGGUGGGUAAACUGAGGCUCAGGAAGUUUCCAGAUUCAUCCUGUUCUACCUGAAGCCCAGGUCCCUGCCUCCUACCACUCUUGUUUGCCCACUGUUCCAUGCUGACCCCAAUCCUGGCCUUUGUUUUCCUGAUCCCAGAAAGAAGGGAUAGUUUACCAUGGGCUGGAGUUUAUUUUAUUUUUGUGUUUUCCAAUAAUUGAUUCCAACAGUUCCUACAGACAGACGUCCUGCAGAAGGAAAACAUGUUUUGCUCGCUCAACCUUCGACUUCCUCAUGGCACCACAGUGGUGGGGGCCCAUGGCCUCGAGGAAAGCGUGGGGUGACUUUUCCCUUGGUUAUUUUUUUCCAUCUCACUGUUGGGGGACAACAAAACAUGUUUUCCUUUUUCUCCAAAGGAAAUCGGAACUUUCUUAUUGACUACUCAUUGCCUAAAACUCACCUUCCUUCUCCGUGAUAAUCUUGGAUUGGAUGAGAUGUGUAAGUUAACUUCAAAAUAAAGGAAUGUCCUUCAUUUUACUAAAAGGACAACCAUCACAACCAAAGAUUUCAUUCACAUGGAGCCACCAACACCACUGAAAUUCACCGUGGCUUCCUCGUCAGUCUGUGCACACAUUUGAAGUGGCUUUAUAAUUUCAAGUUCACACGUUUGCUCAUAAUGUUACCUUUUUCAAAUGCACAGGGCUGAGUGAACAUACACAUUGCCAAUAUUCUGGUCAAGUUGAAAUGGCUGCUUAGAGGUCAUGGAAACAGAAUUAGGUGUAUGGUGUGAGGAAGGGGUCAAGAAUCUUUUUAUUCCCAUGUGAAUGUCCAAUUUAUCCAGCACCAUUUAUUUAAAACACCCUCUCUCACUGUACUGUUGUGUCUCCCCUAUUAUAAAUUUGGCACUUCUAUACAUGUUGGGCUAGUUCUGGACUUUCCUUUCUGUUCCUUGGGUCUAUUUUUUUAUCUUUGCACCAAGACCACCCUGUCUUAAUUACUAUUGUAUCCACUGAAAUCAAGAAAUCAUGCUAGACUUAGUAACUCUCCUAUUGUUGAACAUUUAGGUUGUUGCCAAUGUUUUAUUAUAACGACUUGUGUAAUACUGAGUCAUAGCAAUAAAGAAACAAUCAUAGUUGAGACUUACGGUGUGCCAGGCUGUAAGUGCUUUACAUAUAUUAACUCAUUUAAUCUUCGUAACAACCCUUGGAGAGAGGUGCAGUUUUGGUCUCCUCUUUGAGAGAUGAGGAAUUCGAGGCACAGGGAAGCUAAGUCUUUUGCCUUCAGUCCUAUGGCUUCUGCAUGGUGGGCAGGGGUCUGAACCCAGGCAGGCUGGCUCUGGAAUCUGUGCUUUUAUUCACUCACCUCUGUAGUAGGUGAGCGGAUAAAAAGGGGGUGCAUAAAGGAAUGAAUAGGAUGGAAGUGACGAUGCCUUUCUUAUCUUCUUGAACUUAUGAAGUGGCUCAGUGGCUGUGGGUCUGAGAGCCCUGGGAACCCCCACACCCCCGCCCGGUCCACCACUCACUGGCUAUGUGACUUUGGAUGAGUCAUUACUUCUCUUUAAGCCUCAGGUUCCUUGUCUCUAAAAUAGAAAUAGUAGACCUAUUUGUCUGGAUCAUCCUGGGGCUUCAGGAACCAGUAUAGUGUCUACUGGUCCAGAGAAGGUUCCCUGAGGUCUUAACCAUCUUGAUGGUCACCCAGGAACCUUGGUGACUACAGAGGGCUCCUCCCAAAAAGCUCUUUGCUUUGUGGAUAUUCUAGGCUUCCUGCUGGAGCUGGAGAGACCUUCACAGAUGGGGAAACUGAGGCCUGGAGAAGCUAAGGGCAUGGCCAGUGGGCACCCUGAACCUCCUUCUCACAAUCUCUCUCUGCAUUUGUAGAUCCAAAGCUCGAGGCUCUCCUGGUCAUCAGCUUACCAGGGUGGGUGCUCAGCCCAGAAUGUCCCCACCCCCUUCAUUGGGCAGCUCUUUCCCCUCCUUCAAGGGCAGCCCCCAGCUCACCACCCUGCGUCGGCUCUCCUGAUCUGCAGGCCUGAGUGAUCAUCUUAGGAUAGUGACUGCCUGCUGCAGUGGGACUGUGAGCUCCAUAAGGAUGGGCCCCUGCCAUGGCUCCACCGAUAGAACCUGGCACAAGGAGACGCCCAGAAGAUAGCCAAUGAAUGAGUGAAUGAGUCUUACUUAUGAAGCAGUUACCAAAGCUGACCAAUCAUUCCGGUUUGCCUGAGACUGAGGGUUUUCCUGGGAUGCAGGACUUUCAGUUCUAAAAUCAGGAACAUUCUAGGCAAAUUGUGUGGCAAGUGUUGGGUUCAGCUUUUAGAGCCACCAUUUGGUCUCAUCCUCAUGUUUUACGCCAGGUUCCCUAGAAGGAGAGCCUCAAGAAAUGCUCUCAGCAGGGAGUGAGGGAUGCAGGCAGGCAGGGAAAACACCACACAAGGCUGUGUCCUCGCUAGACACUGGCCUCAGCCUG
rnacentral:lncRNA from 1 species